UUGCCAGAUCAACAGCAAAAAAUACUAUCUAAUAUUUAAGUUAUGUUGUAACUUAUAUGAGCCACGCCAUGAGAAAACCAACAUAGUGGCUUUGCGACCAGCAUUGAUCCGGACCAGCCUGCGCAUCCGCGUCUGGAUCCAUGCUGGUCGCAAAGCUACUAUGUUGGUUUUCACAUGGCACGGCUCAUAUUAUGAUUGAAUGUAUAUACUUAUAUAAACACUUGCUGGGCAGAAAUUUAUCAUUAAGCGAUAUAUGAGUGGUGACAUUACGCCGAAGAAAAAAUAAAUUGAAAAAAAAAUGUCAUGAUGUCAUUCUCAAGGUCAUAAGGAUAAACGCCAAGGAUUCUACAUGUAAACAACGCUAAUGUAAAAUGCGAAAACAGUUUCGUAAAGUGGAUUCUUAAUUCAGGAUCUAAGGGAGAAGCACAUGGAAAACAGUUGAAGAAGCUACCUAUCUAGCUAAGCAAAAACAGACACGUGUAUUUUGUAUUGAGAGUAGAAAUUAUGCCGAAAACGAAAAGAUCUAAGAGGUAUAAAACAACACAGACAAAUGUAAAGAAACCUUAUGAGAAGUCGGUUAAAGUCAACGCAUCAAGUGCAGGCAAUUCAAAUUCUGGUGCAAAAAAGAAAUCGGCUGCAAAUUUGAAAUGGUUUCUCAAAGUUUACAAAGGAUUAGACGACUGGCAUAUUCCAAUAUUUCAAGCUACACAGCAGUACACGAAGGCGAAACACGUACUGUAUCCCGGAUGCGACAAACACUUGACUGCUUCUCUUUGCUUUCCACUUGUCGUCUAUGUUGAUGUCAACAAGAAACUAAAACCAGUCUUCAAUGACGACAGCGUUCUUGAAUGGGUCAAAGAGAACAAGAUGUAUAGCGAAGAAACUAAGAUAAAGUUUCUGUGCCAAAAUUUCGAUUCAGGCUUCGAGAAAUUGGCUUCCUUCGAUUUAAUGAUAUCAGCUUGUGCAGGUAUUGUGUCGAAGCCAUGUUCAAAAUAUAUUAAACCAGGUGGCUAUUUUCUUGUCUCUGAUGCGCAUUUUGAUGCGCGAACAACAUUUCUUAGACCGGACUUUGAACUGGUUGCAGUGUAUGAUAACGAAACAAGCCAGUUUCUUACCAACAAAGCUGAGUUUGCAGGACACUUCCAUACUCUUGAAGGCAAACCAUUAAAUAGUAAGCAAGUUGAAGAAAGUUUGCAAAAACCGAAAGCCAGGCGCUCGUUUAAACUUCAGAAAGAAGCAAUGUUUUAUUUAUUUCGGAAGGUUAAAGAAGCAUAAUGUGUUGCAAAUGUGUUUGAUUAGAAAUAGCUUAGAUACCAUUACAGCCGUAAUUAAAUGUAUGACUGAUGAACAGCCUUAUAAAAUCGUUACAAUUCAGUUUGUCGACUGCUUUGUAAGUUAAACCUGGUCGUUUGCUACAGACAAAAUGUUAAAAUCUUAUCUUUUUAAUAUCAAAAGUUAUAUAAACCAUCAUAUUUAGGAAAGAAAUUUCAAAGCUGAAACGAAACAACCCCUGGUUCUUAUACCUAUAAAGACAUAUUUUUUGCGAUUUAAAGUUCAGAAUAAAUAUAUGCCAGUUUAAAAAGAAAAAGACAAGUGAUGAAUAUUAUUGAAUUUGAUUAUUCACGCACGCACGCACGCACGCAUUCUUUACAUAUUACUUUCUUAUAUUAUUUACUUAUAUUAAUACUUCCACAAAAAUAUGUUUAUAUUCAUCUUUACAGAUAUAUGUAUAUAGUGUAGAAAUAGUUCAUUAAAGCAUUGUUUUUUCUACCACAAAAUGAUUAUAUGAAUGCAUUAUUAGCAUGGCAAAAGAAAUUAAACCAUUUCCAAUGUUGAUGUAUGUACAGUUAAAAAAUGAUAAAAAUAUUUUGAUUUAUUCAUUUGUUGAUUGAUUUGUUUUUAAAUAUCGUAACUACUACUACUGUCGUUAGUCUCAUAAUACAUUGUGUAAUUCUAUAUAUACGUUAUCUAUGCUAAUGUAUACCAUGGUAUACUAUUAUACAUUUUAGCAAGAAUAAAUGAAAUAAAAUUGA